UUGGGAGCUCACUAGCUUCAGAGUCAUGGGAACUCCGAAAUUAAGCGAGUUGGGGCUAGAGUAAUCCCAAGAUGGGUGACCCACCAGGAAGUUGCUCGUGAGUUCCCAAA
rnacentral:rRNA from 1 species